UAAGUCAUAUAUAAAUAAUAUAUGAAAAUAAUCAUAUAGAAGGCAAUAUGAUUAAAAAAGUUAAAAAUAAUGAAGUUUUACUGUUGCAUUAUUAAAUUAGUGCAACAUAAAGAUACAUUAGGUGGUAUACCUUAGUAAAAUGAGCUGGUUGUAGAAAACGUGUCACAAAACCUAUAUAGGGGUGGUGAUGUCGAGCAGGCAUGUCAUAUGAGAAAAAUUUCACAAGUGAAAUAUAUAUGACUAUGUAUAUGGAGUGAGUCUUGCCGGCAUAAGUCAUAUAUAAAUAAUAUAUGAAAAUAAUCAUAUAGAAGGCAAUAUGAUUAAAAAAGUUAAAAAUAAUGAAGUUUUACUGUUGUAUUAUUAAAUUAGUGCAACAAAAAGAUACGUUAGAUGGUAAUACUAAAUAAAAUAAGAGCAUUGUAGAAAACGUGUCACAAAACCUAUACAUGGUGGCAGUGUGUGCUCAUCACGUAUAUAUGUAUUGGAUGCAUAUAUUUCAGUUUGCAUAUUAAGUAAUAAUUAUGUUAUUAUUAAUUAAUUAUUAGUCUCAUCCGAUAUAAAAAUUGAUACUAUUAUAUGGUUAUAUAAUUAUUACUAUUAUAUAAGCAUAUAAUGUAUUAAAUGUCUUUUUUCAAAAGAAGACGGUGUUUCGUAGCUAAAGAAUUAAUAUUUUGUGAAUAAUUGAAAAAUCCUCUAGGACACUAUUGUGGACGGAGGUUUUUACUAAUAUAAUAUUGUCUACACGUAAAUGCAGAAUUAGAUAAAA